rnacentral:misc_RNA from 1 species
CGCACAUUGCGCCCCUUGGUAUUCCAUGGGGCAUGCCUGUUCGAGCGUCAUUUACACCCUCAAGCUCUGCUUGGUGUUGGGCGUCUGUCCCGCCGCUCGUCGGCGUGAGGACUCGCCUUAAAGGUAUUGGCGGCGGCCUUUGUCAGCUUCUCGCGCAGCGAAGAUUGCGUCGACCGAAGCGCGGCACCGGGCUCGCGUCCAUCAAGUUCACCACGACUUGACCUCGGAUCAGGUAGGGAUACCCGCUGAACUUAA